UGUUUUUCCCCUGGAGGCUGAUCUCAUGUUUCAUUACUCAGGGCCCUCUUUGAAUAGGGCUUGCAAACUAAUUUAAACCAGAUCCUUUGCUGUAUGUUUGGUUGGAGGGAACUCAUUUUUCUUUAACCAAAGGGAAGCCUGGAACAAGCAUCUCAAGUGAUAAAACUACAUCAGAUAAUUUCUUCACAUACAUUCUAUGGCAUAUUCUUCACAAUCAAAGCUGCAAUCCAGCUGAAAUUCCAACCGCAGAACCUGCCAGAAAGACAACCAAGGAAAUCAGUAAACCUGGAUUUAAUACAGAUACAUACACAUUUCAGAACUUGGCAUCUGGACCUGCUUGGGUUGAAGAACAGAUUUUUAAACAAAGUAAAUGAGGCAAAUAAAGUGUAUUAUACAACUGGAUCAUUUUAAUACACUCUAUGCCAGUGGGAUAUUUCUCAUCUCAAACUGUUGCAAAGGGAUGUUGUUCACACUUUAGGGCUUGGACCGAUGCUUGUGUGGAACAGCCAUUCUGUGAAGAUAUUGGGUACAGCUGCGGAGAUGAACGAGGGGUACCCUCCAUUUUGGAAAGCAGGGCCCUGGGUUGCAAGGACAGAUGGCAUCUUUAUCAGCUUUGCUUGAUUAUUGUAACAUGAAUGAUGUCAAAUAGUUCUGAUGACUUUAUUCAGCUGGAUUCUUCUCAGGAGGUAAUGGCUGCACACAUCUACUUAGUCCUUGACAGGAUAGUUAGCUCAGCAUGAUCCAGCCUUCAUUAGGUGCCUCAAGAUAGCAAGAAAGUAGAAGAAAAAUAGAUCCUUGAGACCAAAGGUACAAUAUGAUUAUGGUGGUAAAUGAUGUCAUGGUCAAAUCUACACAGCUUCAGAGGAUCGCAAAUAGAAUUUAUGGUACUUGACAAAGAGACUCUGCUCUCACACAGACAACUGGGCAUCCAUCCCAAGACUGUUUAAUUUGGCCUGCUAACUACUGUCCAUAAAUCCACUGCUAUUUUUCUGUGGAAGGAAUUCCAGAAUUUCAUUCAAAAUGAGAAUAAAAGCUUGGGGCUGUGGUUUUACUAGCUGUGUCCUUUAUAAA